AGGGUAGGGACCUUCAGAUGGACAGAUUAGCCUGGAUUAAGCAGAUGGAGAAGCCGAGGAUCAAGGAUCGGGCCAGGAGCCAAGGAAUACUGCCACCUCUAGAAGUUGGGAACGGCCCUCAGCUUACAGCCACUAAGAAAAGGGGGAUUUUGGCCCUCUAGCUGCAAGGAAUCUAAUUCCACUUGAAUUAACAAGGAACAUCCAGGCAGGAAUGUAGCCCUGACAACACCCUAAUUUAGGCCAGUCAGGCCCGGACAGACUUCUGACCCACGGAAUUCUAAAAUAAUUUGUGUUUCUUAAACCAUCAAAUUUGUUGUAAUUUGUUAUGGUAGCAACAGGAAUCAAAUAUACCUCUCUACUUUUACAAGAUAUUGUUGUCUGCAGCCUGUUUGAAGUCGGUGACUAAACACAGCUGGUUACUAUGGCAGGCCCAUUCUGAAGAGUUGCAGGACACCCUCGGGAGUACUUUGGUUUGAAGCCUCCUCAUCACCUCGGCUGCCGUUUCUGGGAUCUGGGUUGCAG
rnacentral:lncRNA from 10 species